GAUGAACGCUAGCGGCAGGCCUAAUACAUGCAAGUCGAACGAUAUUAAGGGGCUUGCUCCUUAAGAAAGUGGCGCACGGGUGCGUAACGCGUAUGCAACCUACCUUAAUCAGGGGGAUAGCCCGAAGAAAUUCGGAUUAACACCGCAUAAAAACACAGGAAAGCAUUAUCCAAUGUUCAAAUAUUUAUAGGAUUAAGAUGGGCAUGCGUGUCAUUAGCUAGUUGGGGGUAACGGCCCACCAAGGCGACGAUGACUAGGGGAUCUGAGAGGAUGACCCCCCACACUGGUACUGAGACACGGACCAGACUCCUACGGGAGGCAGCAGUAAGGAAUAUUGGUCAAUGGAGGCAACUCUGAACCAGCCAUGCCGCGUGCAGGAAGACUGCCCUAUGGGUUGUAAACUGCUUUUAUCCGGGAAUAAACCUUUCUACGUGUAGGAAGCUGAAUGUACCGGAAGAAUAAGGAUCGGCUAACUCCGUGCCAGCAGCCGCCGUAAUAC
rnacentral:rRNA from 1 species